AGGGGCAGCGCGAGGAGUAGCAAUACUUUUGGCGGCGACCGGCGCACGGGUGCGUAACGCGUAUGUAACCUACCUUUAACCGGGGGAUAAUUCGGAGAAAUCUGGUCUAAUACCCCAUAAUACUUUUGAGGGCAUCCUCGGGAGUUGAAAGCUCCGGCAGUUAAAGAUGGACAUGCGUUGUAUUAGCUUGUUGGUGAGGUAACGGCUCACCAAGGCAACGAUACAUAGGGGGACUGAGAGGUUUACCCCCCACACUGGUACUGAGACACGGACCAGACUCCUACGGGAGGCAGCAGUGAGGAAUAUUGGUCAAUGGACGCAAGUCUGAACCAGCCAUGCCGCGUGCAGGAUGACGGCUCUAUGAGUUGUAAACUGCUUUUGCACGAGGGUAAACCCGGAUACGUGUAUCCGGCUGAAAGUAUCGUGCGAAUAAGGAUCGGCUAACUCCGUGCCAGCAGCCGCGGUAAUACGGAGGAUCCAAGCGUUAUCCGGAUUUAUUGGGUUUAAAGGGUGCGCAGGCGGCCCGGUAAGUUAGAGGUGAAAGCCCGUGGCUCAACCACGGAACUGCCUCUGAUACUGUCGGGCUAGAGAGUAGUUGCUGUUGGCGGAAUGUGUGGUGUAGCGGUGAAAUGCUUAGAUAUCACACAGAACACCGAUUGCGAAAGCAGCUGACAAAACUACGACUGACGCUCAGGCACGAAAGCGUGGGGAGCAAACAGGAUUAGAUACCCUGGUAGUCCACGCCGUAAACGAUGAUAGCUCGUUGCAGGCGAUACACAGUCUGUGACUUAGCGAAAGCGUUAAGCUAUCCACCUGGGGGAGUACGUUCGCAAGAAUGAAACUCAAAGGAAUUGACGGGGGCCCGCACAAGCGGAGGAACAUGUGGUUUAAUUCGAUGAUACGCGAGGAACCUUACCCGGGCUUGAAAGUUAGUGACCGCUGCCGAAAGGCGGCUUCUCUUCGGGGCACGAAAC
rnacentral:rRNA from 1 species